rnacentral:rRNA from 1 species
AACGAACGCUAACGGUACCCCUAACACAUGCAAGUCGAACGGAUUUUGAUUACAUUUCGGUGUGAUUGAGAUUAGUGGCGAACGGGUGAGUAACGCGUGGGAACAUACCCUUCAGAGGGGGAUAUACACUGGAAACGGUGGGUAAUACCCCAUAAUAUAGAGAUAUCAAAGAGGAAACUCGCUGAAGGAUUGGCCUGCGUCAGAUUAUUGUAGUUGGUUGGGUAAAAGCUUACCAAGCAUUGAUUUGUAGUUGGUCUGAGAGGAUGAUCAGCCACACUGGGACUGAGACACGGCCCAGACUCCUACGGGGGGCAGCAGUGAGGAAUAUUGGACAAUGGAGGAAACUCUGAUCCAGGGAUACCGUGUGAGUGAUGAAGGCCUUCGGGUCGUAAAGCUCUUUCGACAGGGAAGAUAAUGACGUUACCUGUAUAAGAAGCACCGGCUAACUCUGUGCCAGCAGCCGCGGUAAGACAGAGGGUGCUAGCGUUGUUCGGAAUUAUUGGGCGUAAAGGGCGCGUAGGCGGUUUAUUAAGUUGUCUGUUAAAUAUUUUGGCUCAACCAAGAUCCUGCAGAUGAUACUAUUAGACUAGAGUAUGGGAGAGGCAAGUGGAAUUCCUAGUGUAGAGGUAAAAUUCGUAGAUAUUAGGAGGAACACCAGAGGCGAAAGCGACUUGCUGGAACAUAACUGACGCUGAGGCGCGAAAGCGUGGGGAGCAAACAGGAUUAGAUACCCUGGUAGUCCACGCCCUAAACGAUGAAAACUAUCCUUGGGAAUUCGUUCCCGAGUAAAAGCUAACGCGAUAAGUUUUCCGCCUGGGAAGUAAGAUCGCAAGAUUAAAACUUAAAGGAAUUGACGGGGACCCGCACAAGCGGUGGAGCAUGUGGUUUAAUUCGAAGGUACACGAAGAACCUUACCAGCUUUUGACAUGACAGUCGUAGACCUAUGUAAAUAGGUCGUCAUUUAGGUGGACUGUCACAGGUGCUGCAUGGCCGUCGUCAGCUCGUGUUGUGAAAUGUUGGGUUAAGUCCCGCAACGAGCGCAACCCUUGUUCCUAGUUGCUAACAGGUAAUGCUGAGUUCUUUAGGAAGACAGAUGGUGAUAAGCCAUAGGAAGGAGAGGAUGACGUCAGGUACUCAUGGCCCUUAUGGGCUGGGCUACACAUGUGCUACAAUGGCAAGUACAAAGAGAAGCAAGGUGGCGACACUGAGCAAACCUCAAAAAGCUUGUCCUAGUUCGGAUUGAUCUCUGCAACUCGGGAUCAUGAAGGUGAAAUCGCUAGUAAUCGUAGAUCAGAAUGCUACGGUGAAUACGUUCUCGGGUCUUGUACACACCGCCCGUCGCGCUAUGGGAGUUGUUUCUGCUUGAAAGCGAAAUUCUAACCCGAAAGGGAGGAUAUUGUCUAGGGUGGGGGCGAUGACUGGAGCU